rnacentral:rRNA from 2 species
AAAUGAUUUCUUCGGAAUGAACUUAAGUGGAUUAGUGGCGGACGGGUGAGUAACGCGUGAGUAACCUGCCUUACACAAGGGGAUAGCCGUUGGAAACGACGAAUAAUACCCUAUGAUGUUUCUAUCUCGCAUGAGAUAUUAACCAAAGUAUUAGCGGUGUAAGAUGGACUUGCGUCUGAUUAGCUAGUUGGUGAGAAAAAAGCCCACCAAGGCAACGAUCAGUAGCCGGCUUGAGAGAGUGUACGGCCACAUUGGGACUGAGACACGGCCCAGACUCCUACGGGAGGCAGCAGUGGGGAAUUUUGCACAAUGGGGGAAACCCUGAUGCAGCGACGCCGCGUGAUUUAGAAGGCCUUCGGGUUGUAAAAAUCUUUUGUAUAGGAAGAAAAUGACAGUACUAUACGAAUAAGGUCCGGCUAAUUACGUGCCAGCAGCCGCGGUAAUACGUAAGGACCGAGCGUUGUCCGGAAUCAUUGGGCGUAAAGGGUACGUAGGCGGGUCAUUAAGUUAGAAGUCAAAGGCUAUAGCUCAACUAUAGUAAGCUUCUAAAACUGGAGACCUUGAGUAAUGGAAGGGAAAGUGGAAUUCCUAGUGUAGCGGUGGAAUGCGCAGAUAUUAGGAGGAAUACCGGUGGCGAAGGCGACUUUCUGGCCAUUAACUGACGCUGAGGUACGAAAGCGUGGGUAGCAA